GGUGGGAGACGUUGAUGCGGCCACGCUAGUGGUGGUGGAGUCGUUGGUGAAAUACCACUCUGAUUGUUCUGGUUAUCUCACUGUGGACCGUGAUCCGGUUCAAGGACAGUGCCUGAUGGGUAGUUUGACUGGGGCGGUCGCCUCCUAAAAAGUAACGGAGGCGUACAAAGGUAAGUUCAAAUUGAAAAUAUCAAUUGUAGAGCGUAAUAGUAUAUUGCUUGCCUGACUGUAAGAUUGACAAAUCAAACAGGGACGAAAGUCGGUUAUAGUGAUCCGGUGAUUCUGUGUGGAAAAGAUCACCGCUCAACGGAUAAAAGGUACGCCGGGGAUAACAGGCUAAUCACCCCUUAGAGACCCUAUCGACGGGGUGGCUUGGCACCUCGAUGUUGGAUUAUCGCAUCCUGGAAUUGAAGAAGAUUCCAAGGGUUUGGCUGUUCGCCAAGAAAAGCGGUACAUGAUCUGAGUUUAGAACGUCGUGAGACAGUUUGGUCCCUAUCUACCGUAGGCGGAAGAAAACUGAAAGGAGUAAACCCUAGUACGAGAGGACCGGGAAAAGUAAAUCAAUGGUGGAUCGGUUGUUGUACCAACGGCAUAGCCGAAUAGCUACAUUUAUAAUAGAUAAUUGCUGAAAGCAUCUAAGCAAGAAACUAGCCUUAAGAUAAGUUUUCUAAAAGAUGUAAUAGAUUAUUACUUUGAUAGGUUUUGUGUGUAAGAAUUGUAAAAUUUUUAGCUAAUAAAUACUAAUGUCU
rnacentral:rRNA from 1 species